UACGUAGGUCCCGAGCGUUGUCCGGAUUUAUUGGGCGUAAAGCGAGCGCAGGUGGUUUAUUAAGUCUGGUGUAAAAGGCAGUGGCUCAACCAUUGUAUGCAUUGGAAACUGGUAGACUUGAGUGCAGGAGAGGAGAGUGGAAUUCCAUGUGUAGCGGUGGAAUGCGUAGAUAUAUGGAGGAACACCGGUGGCGAAAGCGGCUCUCUGGUCUGUAACUGACGCUGAGGCUCGAAAGCGUGGGUAGCGAACAGG
rnacentral:rRNA from 1 species